CUGGGACGCUGGAGUUGGGCCAUCAGAAGCAUACGCUGGAGGCUGGGCGUAACCACCAGCAUAGGUACUGUUGUAAGGUGGUGGCUGCUGCUGGCCAUAACUAGGUGGAGCCCCAUAAGGCGGGGCACCAUAACCAGGCUGAGCUGUUGGAGCACCAUAGCCAGAAGCAGGAGGUCGCAGAGUGCCAGAAUCAGGCAGAGCAUAGCCUGAUUGAGCAGCUUGCUGUGGAUACCCAGGCUGUGCUGGGGGAGGCUGGGCAUAACCUCCUUGCGCACUAGGAGACUGCUGUGGCUGACCAUAAGCUUACUCACAUUAACUUUGAGGUGAUGCUUUUGCAACCCCACCACUGGGCUGAACAGACUGGGACGCUGGAGUUGUGCCAUCAGAAGCAUACGCUGGAGGCUGGGUGUAACCACCAGCAUAGGCACUGUUGUAAGGUGGUGGCUGCUGCUGGCCAUAACUAGGUGGAGCUCCAUAAGGUGGGACACCAUAACCAGGCUGAGAUGUUGGAGCACCAUAGCCAGCAGGAGGUCGCUGAGAGCCAGAAUCAGGCUGAGCAUAGCCUGAUUGAGCAGCUGGCUGUGGAUACCCAGGCUGUGCUGGGGGAGGCUGGGCAUAACCUCCUUGCGCGCUAGGG
rnacentral:lncRNA from 1 species